AAUACAAAUCAGCAAUAGUACAAUUAGUAGAUGGCAUAUGUCCAUUUGUGGCUUGUGCUUCUGGAAAACAAGGCAUGGCUAUCACCACUAGGCAGCUCCCUGGGUUUCCUGAGUCAGCUAUUACCAACGGAACUGCUUCAGUGCUACGGGAAAUGAGGUGAAAAAAGUCAAUGACUACCAGUCAAGCUCCAAAGGAAAUGGCACAGCUAAUGCAACCAUGGAGAAGAUUGUAUGCUGAGAUGGAAGACCCAAAAGAUUGAAGCAGCCUGGAUAACUCGGGUACCACACAGAGGACAACUGCCCUAGAGAGUUGCCUUGACCCGCAAAAGACAUUGCCUGAGAUGAAAAUAAACUUUUAUUGUGUUAAACCUUUG
rnacentral:lncRNA from 10 species